rnacentral:rRNA from 1 species
UACGGGGGGGGUAAGCGUUGUUCGGAAUUACUGGGCGUAAAGGGCUCGUAGGCGGCCAACUAAGUCAGACGUGAAAUCCCUCAGCUUAACUGGGAACUGCGUCUGAUACUGGAUGGCUUGGAUUCGGGAGAGGAAUGCGGAAUUCCAGGUGUAGCGGUGAAAUGCGUAGAUAUCUGGAGGAACACCGGUGGCGAAGGCGGCAUCCUGGACCGGCAUUGACGCUGAGGUGCGAAAGCGUGGGGAGCAAACAGGG